rnacentral:lncRNA from 12 species
CUUAUUGUCUACAGAAAUCUUGUCCCUUUGUAUGACAUCAAGUUGCCAAAAAGAUAUUCAUCUUAAUGUUUUCACAUGUACAUCAAAAGAAUAUGAAUGCUUCCAAGAUGUUAUUCUGUUUCGUUGAAUUUCACAGCUUUGCAUCCCAAGUCAGGAAGCUGUAGUGGAGCUGUGCUGAUACACCAGUGCUGAAUGCCAGGACACCCAUAUGCAGACACAUAUGCUGGACCAGGAGCCAGUGCUCUAGCACUCGGAGGCUCGCAGGAAGACGGUAGGCCGCACCAGGCUGGCUUUGUCCUCAGGUGGCCCUGGUGUCUUCUGCUCUGCAUCCAGGGGUCACCGUGCCUCUUCCCUGUGGGAGAGUAGAGAAGAACUGUUGACCAAGAUGCCUAAGGAUGGAAGCAAAGGAUGGAAGCAAAGCACAGGCUCCGCUGUGUGACCCAACCCAUGCUGUCGGCACAGGCUGUCCUUUUUCCUGGUGAAAAUGAUCCCGGGGGUGCUGUGCGCGUAGCACACAUCACUGCAUCAUGCUUUGUGGGCUCACAUGUCACAUCAAACUGUCGAUCCUACAACUUAAGCGGAGGGACGAGGCCUCAUUUGGGAGUUAGGACAGCGAGGGGGAGAACAGCUGAGUUUUCCUGUGUGCCAUGGAAGGUGUGGAAGUUGGCUGAGGGAGCAAAGGAUGACUAG